rnacentral:rRNA from 1 species
UACGGGGGGGGCAAGCGUUGUUCGGAAUUACUGGGCGUAAAGGGCGCGUAGGCGGUCUUUUAAGUCUUGUGUGAAAUCCCUCGGCUUAACCGGGGAACUGCGUCUGAUACUGGAUGGCUUGAGUGUGGGAGAGGGAUGCGGAAUUCCAGGUGUAGCGGUGAAAUGCGUAGAUAUCUGGAGGAACACCGGUGGCGAAGGCGGCAUCCUGGACCAUUACUGACACUGAAAAGCGAAAGCCAGGGGAGCAAACGGG